rnacentral:rRNA from 1 species
GUGAAUACGUUCCCGGGCCUUGUACACACCGCCCGUCACAUCAUGAAAGCCGGUUCUGCCCGAAGUACAUGAGUUAACCGCAAGGAGACAGUGUCCUAAGGUGGGGCUGGUGAUUGGGAUGAAGUCGUAACAAGGUAGCCGUAGGGGAACCUGCGGCUGGAUCACCUCCUUUCUA